UUCGAGGUGCAUGUGCGCCCUCUGCUUGCGCGACGCGUGCGCGUCGUGUCGUGCGCUUCGCCAUAGCGCACAGCCCCACGAACCCUAGCCCCCAAACUGCAGCCGCCACAAUCUUCCCUCCUUACUUCCUCGUCAACACAGGCGCCGCACCCCUCCCUUCUCCCCCCUUCCCGCAGCCCCAAGAGCUCGGCCGUACCAUUCGACGAGAUCCACCGCCUCCUGAGGUACAUAUCCACCCCAGGUCGCGAGGAAGUCGCGGGAGGAGGAGAGAACCCUCGUCGCAAGGAAGAUGCAGGAGGAGGAGGUCAGCCGGGCGUCGCCGGCCGAAGAAGGAGGAGAAGCGGGGAUGCCAGCCAAGGAGGCGGAUCGCCUCACCUCUACUGCACUGUGAGCGCUGCCGCUACCUCUGCCUCCACCUUGCCCCGCCGUCAUGGGAGGAGUCGCCAUGGAAGAGCAGUCGUAGGUACCACAACAUCAAAGGAGCUGCAGUCGGGUGGAGAUGAGGAUGCGUCGCUCGAUUGACAAGAGCAGGACAGUGAAUUGGAUUGAGGGCGUCUACAUGGCCACACCGCUGCUGCCGCCUAGAGUCGCCUUGGGGUGCCACCUCGAGCGGCCUCCAUCGCCGCCCCGAGUCAAGUCCACCACUGCCGCCAGGAAUCCCGUCCCCAGCAAGCUGACCUGCUGAUGUUGCUGCUGUGCUGGCCAGGGAGUGAGUCCACUGACAUAUGGACACAAGAGAUAUUCAGUUAUGAGGAUUAGGAUAUUAAUGAUUGUUCAGUCAUUGAGGAUUCGAAAAGAGGCAUCAAUGCUCCAGUAAAGGUUGUAUUGAAGUUGUGGCUGUCAAUAGUCCUUUUAUUGAUGCUAACUACAUGGCCUAUAUGUUCAAGUAUGACUCCACUAAUGGCCCCUUUAGAGGAUCCAUUAAGGUCGUGGAUGAUUCAAUACAGGAGAUUAAUGCAAAAAAAAAUCACAACCACAAGCAAAAGGUAAAUAUGCCAGGGUUAGCUGAUUGUUUGCCAUAUUAGUGUGGUUGAUAUAGAUGUCAUGGUUUCUAAAUAUGCAUGACAUGUUGUCCUGAAAUAAGGACAUGUGAAGCAAUGAAGUCGCCGAAGUAACAUUAUUACUUAAUAAUCGAUUCAUAGUUUAGAGCCCCAUGUUUUUUGCACAUUCAUACUGACAUAUAAUAGCUUACAAGUGCACGCUUGUUGUACAUCUCGAGUACUGGAUGUUCCUUCUCUUAUUUUGAUUCUGAUGUUCAUAUGUUAAUUUUCUGCGAUGGAGGGAAAGGAGAAGUCUGAAUGUGCCAACAAGUAGCGACCAGUGAGCUGUCGUCUAUGAUUGGCUAUGGGAGGAGUUGUCUUGCGCUGCAAGGGCAUCUUGCAGAUCGAUUUCCUUGGUUUGAUGUAUCUCGGAUUCUGAUUAGUCUUUGAUUUCACACAUUUGUUUGGAUAUUUUCUUUGCGUCAAGCACCAUGAUUUUUUUAUCACUAGUCAACAUGCACAGUACUAUCUAAGCAUAGUUGUUGGUUCUGAGCUUUUGCAGCACAUAACAAAUCUUAGCUUUCAGGAAUUAUGAUAUUGGCCAUUUCCACUGAACAUGAAGAGGGUACAUGUAUGGACAUGUAGAAACUGGAGUGAAUUAACAUAAUCCCAUAGAAUGUAGUCUGAGAAAUGAGAAUAGUACGCCAACUCAGUGAGGCAAGUACCGGCCUGUUUUGCCAUCCCUGUGAUAAAUGAAAGUUAGUUUAGGUAAUCUUGGUUAUAAAAUCAUUUUCUUAAAGGCUUAACUUAUAACUUGACAGAAAUUUUUAUUGCACCUGAAUAUUUGAUUAUGAAUCUAAGUUAUGGGAAAUAGGUGGAGUAAGAGGAAAUGGGGCGUUGUUAGGCGGGACCUUGCCACUGUUGCCUUGGGUUUUGGCAUCGAAGCACCACCAUGUAUGGCUAGCCUUCCAUGGCUACAUCGAGGGUCCCAAUCUGCAGGUGAGCUCUUCUUUUCAUCUACAGAUUAUGACUAUAGUUUGUGAUUCAUGGCUACUAUAGUCCUUCCAUGGCUAAAUCUCCACCUUGUGAUUCAUGGCUACUAUAGUCCUUCCAUGGCUAAAUCUCCACCUCAAUGAGAUUGUUUUUGUGCUAGAAACAGACUAGGCUAAAUCUCCACCUCAAUGAGAUUUAGUUUGUGCAUUAACGACUAUAGGUUUCUUAUUGUUUUGGAGUGUCUGCUUUCAUUUCCUCUGGUUCAGUCAGUAUUUAUUUGCACCCAUGUUAGCUUCAGUAUUCCUUUCCGAUUCUCACACUUUGGUUGCGGCUUCUUUGUUUAUGUUGGAAGUAUUAGACAGAUAAAUUGUUCAUUUAAGUUGUCUCCACUUUCUCCUCUUGUGUCACAUUAAAUCAUGGUAUAAUAGAUAAUUCAGUUAACUGAUUGUUUGCCAUAUUAGUGCAGUUGAUAUAGAUGCCAUGAUUUAUAAAUAUGCAUGGCAUGUUGUCCUGAGAUAAGGACAGUGAAGCAAUGAAGUGGCCAAGGUAACAUUAUUACUUAAUAAUUGAUUCAUAGUUUAGAGCCCUGUGUAUUUCGCACAUUCAUACAGAUAUAUAAUAUCUUACAAGUGCAUGUUGUUGUACAUCUUGAGUACUACAUGUUCCUUCUCUUAUUUUGAUUCUAAUGUUCAUAUACUGGUUCUGACUGAAUUCUGGCGUUGAUUCCAAUUUUUUGCGAAACUCCAGGACCCCAUGCAGUGUGCAUUGGACAGUGUUGUGGAGGGUCCAAUUUCCUCAUGAUUUAAGAAGCUCUGUGUAGUAUCAAACUUAAUUUGAGAACACUGGCUUGUUUUGUAGUCCAUUCCCAGCACAUGUGUUCAGAAGACUGGACACAUCUUGUACUUACUUGAAAUUUUCUUUCCAUAAAAAGUUCCUUGGAAGGGAUUGCGAAGUUAAACGAGCAUGUCCCUUUUUCAUCUAUUUACAGUGUGUUUUCUUUUGGUUUCACCACAUUUUUAGGUUCACAUUUUUUACAGAUUACGUAUAGGAGGCAUUGAUGAUGGAACAUGAAUGCCCAUUGUUCUUGUUUGCUCCUGAUCUUAGUAGACCUGUGAUGUGCUCUUGAUCCUUUCUCUUUUUUUUGUUAAAUGAGUCUCUGACUGAGGACAUGUUCUUUAAUUAGAUUGCAAUCAUGAAACUUUUUUUUGGGGUUUCUUAUUGUAAAAUACAAAGCUUCCAAAUUGUUUGAUCCUGGAAAUAAGUUAGCAAAUUUUUGUGUGCAGUGAGCUGGGAGCCGGGGUCAUCCCUGUCACCACCAGUCGAACAUACUACUUCAGCCACCAUGUUGAGCGAUAUAAAAGUGUUCUCUGUUUCAUAGAGCAACAACACGAGAUUGUGCCCCCACUUGCUCCUGGUGCAUGUUGCUGCCCUCCUCCCCCCUCUGAUUUGACUUGCUUUACAUUGCGUGAAGUUGUUUACUUUCAACUUUACAAAGCUAUAUCAAGUUCACAACUGUACUUGGCUACAACUGUAACAUGAUGCAUUUCUCUUCCAGUUUAUUGAAUAUAUUUUUAAGGAUUGAAUGUUCUAUCUGGUACUGUCCUAUCACUCAUUUAACUAUCUUAAUUUGUUCACAAAACUCCUUCUGUAGCUAAGAUUUCUUUGUACAACACGUACUAAUUAUUGGUCUUAUUCUUAAAUCUUAUUUCACGUUAUUCAGCUGCAGGCUGGGUUAAGAUUGUUUUUGUGCCAGAAACAGACUAAGCAAUGCUCUAACCUUAAAGGGCAACCUGGUGCAUGUAGCUCCCGCUUGCGCAGGGUCCAGGGAAGGGUCCGACCACUUUGGGUCUAUAGUACGCAGCCUUUCCCUACAUUUCUGUAAGAGGCUGUUUCCAGGACUUGAACCCAUGACCUCAUGGUCACAAGGCAGCAGCUUUACCACUGCGCCAAUGCUCUAACCUUGGCAGCAAAAAUUGUCUAAAUUCCAUAAAUAAGGUCGUGGAACAUCUUUGAAUACGUUCAUUUAAAUAUCUUGAGUCGACCUAUAUGGGUUGCUUCUGUGCACAAUCUCUUUGAUAUGAAUUUAUAGGAGAGAAAUUCUUUCAUGGUAAUGAUGUAUUAUCGAUAUUUACUCUGUUUCUUAGGCAUAUAAGUUUCUUUUUGUGGGAUGCAAUUACGGCACCAUAUGAAUAUGAUCCUUGAGUUGCAUAACAUUUAUAAAGAAUGUCUUGGAAAUUGCAAGUAGAUGAUUACGUUUACCCUGUAACUUUAGGAGUAAGAUAUAUAUGGUGAUUGAAUCUAGAGAUGCUUGCUAAUCUAUAACGUUAAGAUCCAGUCAUGUGCAAUAUGUUUUAUUCAUAGAAACUUGGAAUCAAUCUGGCUGAAAGUAAUCACCUUAUGGCGUGGCAUGAAGAGGUAGUUCACAAACCUCUGUUAGGUGCUCCAUCCUUUGUCACUCUGAUUUGCUUUCCUAAUAUCUGGCUUCUCUGAACAGAUGUGUGCAGAUUUGAGAAAGAAGAGGAAUAAUCCAGCAGAAGAAUUUGGUGAAUAAGAACAACUUGGCAUUUCUCUCUUGUGAACAGAGUCAUGCCUGCCUUUUGAUUUUAUUGUUUGUGCUAAUGCAAACAAGAAUUCUCUAUAGUUCUUGACGCAACACCUCUAAUUACUCAAUCUGCAAUACAUGAUUAGGAGAAGUUUAGUGCAUGAAUUAGCAUUCUAUAAAGUCCGUCUAAGCUCAUGUCUCUAGGCCAGGGUAGAUUUCUCAAUAUCAUUUUUGGGAUUGUUUGAACACUGAACAACAUUGCCAGGUCAACCAUUUCUCAUGUAUUUGUCAUAUCUGUAGGUAUUGUGGUGUCUCAAUUUUGUCACCAGCCUCUUUUACCGACCUGUAAACUAUCUGUCUCGAGGUCUCCCUGACUGUAUUUGGGUUUAGAAAAACAAAUAACUAUUUUUGGACUUAUUUUUGCAUCAACUACUUUGUAGGUAUUAUGUGUGUUGUUAGGGAUCUGAUAUUAUGUAGUUCCAGGGAUUUCAGACGGUCUGGUCAGUCCAUUGUUCUUUCCAUGUGAUACUUUUUCUCAGUAUUGUGAUCAUCAGUGCUCUUGACACUGGUUACUUUUUCUUAUUACUGUGAUCGUCAGUGCUCUUAACAUUGGUUGUUCUUGCUUUAUGGUUGCCUUCCCAGUGCACCUUUAUUACUUCUAACAUAUUAAUUUUAAUAUGCUUGAUUGACCAUAUUAUAUAUUUCACUUCACCGGGGUGGUUGCUGGAAGUGUUGGUUAAAAUAUUUUGGCUAAAACAUUGUCUCUAAUUAUCAAGUUUAUACAGUUGAAUCUUCUUGAUUGACUAUUUUGUAGCCUGCUCUUAGUUGUACAAUAUUAAUUCUUAAAACUGGAUCUCUUAAAAUUAGUUAAAUUUAAUGAGUUGUUUCACUGUUUUCAAAUAAGUAGCUUCAGCCCCAACUGUGUCCUAAAGCUUAUUUUACUGCCUUUUCAAAUAAGUUUUUUUCCUUGGCACUACUAUCACUGUGUACAGAUGGUUACUGAAAGAAGAAGUAUUCAAGCAGCAUACCUUCACUUGACAGAUGCUUUAACCGCAAGAACUGUUGUUAUUUUCUUUUCCUUUGCUGCAAUAAUGGUAGUUCUCCUUUGAUUCUAGAAGCCACAAAGGAGUGAAGGGUAGAGAUUUCAAUUGUUGUUGAAUUGGUGGGGUUUUCACCAAGUUAGUGUUGCAGAUUGUUUCUAUUUUAGGGCAAGAAGCCAAAUCAUAUUGUUCAUUGUAAAUCUUGAAAAACUUGUUUACUGUCAAUUCUAUAUCUAUUAUAAACUUUUUCCUGGUGUGGUA